rnacentral:rRNA from 1 species
GAUGAACGCUAGCGGCAGGCCUAACACAUGCAAGUCGAGGGAGAAGCCCUUCGGGGCAGAAACCGGCGCACGGGUGCGUAACGCGUAUGCAACCUACCUUUCACAGGGGGAUAGCCCGAAGAAAUUUGGAUUAAUACCCCAUAAUAUUAUUGGGUGGCAUCAUUUGAUAAUUAAAAUUACGAUGGUGAAAGAUGGGCAUGCGUCCUAUUAGCUAGUUGGAGUGGUAACGGCACCCCAAGGCUACGAUAGGUAGGGGUCCUGAGAGGGAGAUCCCCCACACUGGUACUGAGACAGGGACCAGACUCCUACGGGAGGCAGCAGUGAGGAAUAUUGGUCAAUGGUCGGAAGACUGAACCAGCCAUGCCGCGUGCAGGAAGAAUGCCUUAUGGGUUGUAAACUGCUUUUAUAUGGGAAGAAUAAGGAGUACGUGUACUUUGAUGACGGUACCAUAUGAAUAAGCAUCGGUA